rnacentral:rRNA from 1 species
UACGUAGGGGGCAAGCGUUGUCCGGAUUUAUUGGGCGUAAAGAGCGUGUAGGCGGCCAGGUAGGUCCGUUGUAAAAACUCGAGGCUCAACCUCGAGACGCCGAUGGAAACCAUCUGGCUAGAGUCCGGAAGAGGAGAGUGGAAUUCCCGGUGUAGCGGUGAAAUGCGCAGAUAUCGGGAAGAACACCCGUGGCUAAGGCGGCUCUCUAGUACGGUACUGACGCUGAGACGCGAAAGCGUGGGGAGCGAACAGG